UCCGGAUUUCUGGGCGUAAAGCGUGCGCAGGCGGAAAGGUAAGUAGGAAGUGAAAGGUUGGAGCUCAACUCCAACACUGCUCCCUAUACUGCCUUUCUUGAGUAGCGGAGAGGAAAGCGGAACGACACGUGUAGCGGUGAAAUGCGUUGAUAUGUGUCGGAACACCAAUGGCGAAAGCAGCUUUCUGGACGCAAACUGACGCUCAUGCACGAAAGCCAAGGUAGCAAACAGGAUUAGAUACCCUGGUAGUCUUGGCCAUAAACGAUGUUCACUAGGUGUCGGGGUUCUCCUCGGUGCCGCAGCUAACGCAUUAAGUGAACCGCCUGGGGACUACGGCCGCAAGGUUGAAACUCAAAGGAAUUGGCGGGGGCCCGCACAAGCGGUAAUCGAA
rnacentral:rRNA from 1 species